CUUGGUCAUUUAGAGGAAGUAAAAGUCGUAACAAGGUUUCCGUAGGUGAACCUGCGGAAGGAUCAUUAUCGAAUAAACUAGGUGGGUUGUUGCUGUCCCUCUCGGGGGAAUUGUGCACGCCCUACCUUUUUUGUUUUUCCACCUGUGCACACACUGUAGGUCUGGAGGGGAAGGGAGGCAACUCCCUGACGUUUCAGGUCCUAUGUCUUUACACAUACACUAUUAAAAGUAACAGAACGAUUCAAUGGGCUCUAAGCCUAUAAACUAUAUACAACUUUCAGCAACGGAUCUCUUGGCUCUCGCAUCGAUGAAGAACGCAGCGAAAUGCGAUAAGUAAUGUGAAUUGCAGAAUUCAGUGAAUCAUCGAAUCUUUGAACGCACCUUGCGCUCGUUGGUAUUCCGACGAGCAUGCCUGUUUGAGUGUCAUUAAAUUCUCAACCUCAUCGCUUUUGUGAUGAUGGCUUGGAAGUGGAGGUUCUUUGCAGGCUGAAAAGUCUGCUCCUCUCAAAUGAAUUAGUGGGUGCCCCGCGCAAACCUAUCUAUUGGUGUGAUAAUUAUCUACGCCGUGGAUCCUUAGGAUUGCUGUAAAAAGGUGUUUGCCCUGCUUCUAACCGUCUUCGGACAACUUGAACCAUUUGACCUCAAAUCAGGUAGGACUACCCGCUGAACUUAAGCAUAUCAAUAAGCGGAGGAAAAGAAACUAACAAGGAUUCCCCUAGUAACUGCGAGUGAAGCGGGAAAAGCUCAAAUUUAAAAUCUGGCAGUCUUUGAUUGUCCGAGUUGUAAUCUAGAGAAGCAUUAUCCGCGCUGGACCGUGUACAAGUCUCCUGGAAUGGAGCGUCAUAGAGGGUGAGGAUCCCGUCUUUGACACGGACUGCCAGGGCUUUGUGAUGUGCUCUCAAAGAGUCGAGUUGUUUGGGAAU
rnacentral:sRNA from 1 species